UGCUCUUCACGACAUAUGUCAACAGUGCUCCUGAUAGGAGAAGAAAAAGGAUGUGCAGGGUGAGCAGGUCGUUGCAUCCGAGGGCAAUUCAGCACAUAAUUGAUGGAGCAGAGAAGAGCAUCUCUGCUCUGCAUGGCAAUAGGCUAAACAUUUGACAUACUCAACACAAGCCUUGCACGCACCAUCCUUCAUAUGGUAGUUCCAGCGGCAGAGAAUGAUAGUGCAGUGGAGAAAGAAGAGGCAAUCAAGACAAGCAUAGACCUCACCUAUAUGUUCCAUUCACAAGCUUCACAUCCGAUUUUGCAGUCAAGCUGCGUGUGGAAGACCAGUGGAUGCUGAUGGUCGAAAUGAAUGAUAGAUUGGUUACAUCAUAUAGUCAGCACUUUACCUUUGAGAGGAGCUAGAAUUGUUGCUUCAGUCAGAGAUUCAAGUUGCCAGGGCCAAGGUGAGAAAAGAAUGCUGAAAUAUAGAUAUCUUUUUUGGGAGGCUUUAGUCCAAUAUAACCGAAUUUUGGUAUACUGCAGAUGUUAGAACAGAACUUUUCCCAUCUUCAUGUGCUGGAAAAGAAUUUACAGUUCAUGAAUG